UGUGAACACGACAGACCCACAGCACUCAUCAAUGGACAUUUGAGUUCACUGCAGACAAACCCACUACUGCCCGACCAGAAGGUGUGUUAGGAGCAAGGUGUGCAAGAAGCAGGAUGCGUGCCUUCAUUUUAACCCUAGCUUAUUGUCACCCACUACUUUCUGGAUCCCUGUACCAUCCCUCCUGCCCUGCCCUGCCCCCNNCCCCCCCCCCCCCCUGCUCUCCAGGCACCCAGACUCUUACCUGAGCCCCCAGGCAGCCUCCUCAAUCUACCAAGACCCCCGCUUCUCUCUGUACAACACCCACCCUCGUCCCCACCCUAACUCCCUUUUACGGGAGGACAUACCCCCCACGCUUAUGAUACGCCUGAGAUGUGAUUCUGAGGACUCCAUGAUUCUGACACUGGACUAAAAGGAGACUUGAUCAGAACUGGAGGGACACUGAGAAAGAGAG
rnacentral:lncRNA from 13 species